rnacentral:tRNA from 1 species
GCCUGUGUAGCUCAGUUGGUAGAGCAAUGGUAUCGUAAACCAUAGGUCGUCGGUUCGACUCCGACCGCAGGCU